rnacentral:snoRNA from 1 species
UGGUCACUACCAAGGCUUUUAGAAUGCUGUUUCUGAUUUGCUGUGGAGUGGACCAUAAAAAAAACUCCCCACUGGGCUUUCCUUUUGCUACCUUGCUAGCAUUCAGCCUGUGGGGAACAUUC